rnacentral:rRNA from 1 species
GAUGAACGCUAGCGGCAGGCCUAAUACAUGCAAGCCGAGCGGUAUUUGUUGGUCGUAACUGAUAGCGCAUGAGACGCGUGCGGAACACGAAUGCAACGUUCCCCUAUCUGGUGGAUAGCCUUUCCAAAGGAAGACUAAUACUCCAUAAUAUAUUCAGUGGCAUUUUUUUAAUUUGAACACUCAGGUGGCUAGUGCUGGGCACGCGCAAGGUUAGAUAGUUGGUUAGGUAACUGGUCACCAAGUCAAUGAUCUAUAGGGGGCCUGAGAGGGUGAUCCCCCAGACUGGUACUGGGACACGGACCAGACUGCUACGAGAGGCAGCGGUGAGGAAGAUUGGACCAUGGGUUAGAGCCUGAUCCAGCCAGCCCGCGUGAAGGACGACGGCCCUAUGGAUUGUAAUCUUCUUUGGUGUAGGGAUAAACCUGCUGUCGUGAGAGUAGCUGAAGGUACUAUACGAAUAAGCACCGGCUAACUCCGUG